GUAGCCAAUACGGUAUAUUGGGCAAGAGUUCCCCUCGUCGUUCCGAUUGCCUCCUCCUCUUAAAACCCUCCUCUGAGAAAACCACCAUCUUCUAGUUGUAUCACCACCUCUAUUCGGCAGGGCCUCUACCAUUGUGAAUUUUCAUUUUGCGGGAUUUCAGAUCACCUCUCCUUCUUUGUCGCUUCUGUUCUCGCUGUUGUCGACAGUGUGUGGCUCCUUUUCCUCACAUCGAACAAUUGCUGCAGUAAAUAUUAGAUUGAAUAUAACAACAUAGCUCAACAUAAUGCCCAGGUAUUACUGCGACUACUGCGACACAUACUUGACACAUGAUUCUCCAUCUGUCAGGAAGCAACAUAAUGCGGGUUAUAAACAUAAGGCAAAUGUGCGGAUUUACUACCAGCAAUUUGAGGAGCAACAGACGCAAAGUUUGAUUGAUCAGAGAAUCAAGGAGCAUCUUAGUGGCCAAGGUGCAUUUCAAAUUGGUGCUGCCUAUGCAGCCUGGAGACCUGGUGUUAGGCCUCCUCUUCUUCCUGCACCUUUGCCGAUUCCAGGUUCCCUUCCUUCGAAUGCUCAAAUGCCUCCAGGGAUCAGGCUACCUGUUUUUCCUAGACCUCCUGGUUUUCCAGUUUAUGGGGCACCUCCAGGACUAGUUGCAGGACAACCAGGUGCUCCUGGUGCACCUGUGCAAGCAAAUGGUCUGCCUGGGCCUCCUCCUUUGACUACCUCAACAUCAGUACCAGGGGCGACACCUCCUGUUACUAAUGGUGGUGCUCCAACUGUAUCACAGCCUGGGUUCCAGGGUGCUCCUGCAGGCGGGAGCUUUGGUGGGACAAACAUGCCUGCAGUCCCUAGCUUCCCUUCUGCAGGUGGAAACGUUUCUUACCCUGCAACAUCAGGUGCUGAUGGAUUUACGUAUGCUCAAGCCCCAAACAGCAGUCUUCAGUCUAACUAAAAUGAUUUAUCACAUAUUAACUAGCUCUUGAGCCCGUUUAAAGAACGGGGUGUUAUAUAGUGGUUGUUCAACUGUCUUUUGAAGUUUAAUUAGUGAGGACUUGUGAUCUUCGAUAAUAUAUGAUUUAAAUAGAGUAAUCUAUGGCACACAACAACAAUCGCUCCAUUUGUGUUCUAUUCUGGACAAAGAGAAGUUGAAUGGGAAUAAUUUCCUUGACUAGCAAUUGAACUUGCCGAUAGUUCUCAUGCACGAUGUAUAGGACUAUGUCUUUGAAGAAGAGUCACCGGAAAAGGUUGGCCCAAAGUAACUCCAAGCUGCCUUAAUCGUUUCAUUGAUGCCAACAGGGAUGUCAAAUUUGUGAUGCUUAACUCCGAAAAACAUUUAUAAACUCAAAUGCAUUCUAGAUCAUCACUGAGUUAAAGAAUUGUUUCAGGACCAAGCCAUGAUCGAAAGAGUCAAGACUCAAUGGUUGAUCCUUGAGACAAAGUUCAUGAAGGAGAACCAGUUAGUCCACAUGUUCUUAAAAUCAUUAGAUUGUUUGAGACGUGAGUACACUUGAUGUUGUAUCCUUAGGAAAUGGCUAUUGACAUGAUUCUCCAUUAACUUACAGUGGAUAUGACCAGUUCACGUUGAAUUUAUCAUGAACAAUAUGGAGAAAGCUCUUGUAACA